UACGUAGGGGGCAAGCGUUGUCCGGAAUCAUUGGGCGUAAAGAGCGCGUAGGCGGCCCAGUAAGUCCGCUCUGAAAGUCAGGGGCUCAACCCCUGGAUGCGGGUGGAUACUGCUGGGCUAGAGUCCGGAAGAGGCGAGUGGAAUUCCUGGUGUAGCGGUGAAAUGCGCAGAUAUCAGGAAGAACACCCGUGGCGAAGGCGGCUCUCUGGGACGGUACUGACGCUGAGACGCGAAAGCGUGGGGAGCGAACAGG
rnacentral:rRNA from 1 species